rnacentral:lncRNA from 1 species
UUUUUUUUAUUUUGUGACUAAAAACUACCACUUUUGAAAAAUGGCCGGUUUAAACGAUUUAAACACGUUUAUGACAUGUGGGACCCAUCCGUCAGGGCUGACGUGGCGACAAAGUCAACUCUGUUUAUUUUGACCGUUACGUUGACCGUUAUUACAAGUGGGGCCCACCUGUCAGCAUCACUUUUCUUCCUCCUCCUGUUGUCUCUGGCAUUUCCUCGAACACCUCGUGUGCAUUCGGGUUUGAGCUCUGAACUCCUCCAUGGCGACGCCCCGGCGCAGCACGUCACUGGUGUUGGUUGGGGACUAGAACGGCGGCGCAACCAAGGUGGCUGGAGCUGUGGAAGCGGCCGCCGAAGCUGACGGAAUUUCCUCCGAGGCCAUCGGCGCCAGCACCCGACGCAGCUCCUCAACGAUGGUCGCCUUGAGGAUCUUGUGCUCGAGCAACUCGGUGCGCAGGCGUGACUCGCACUCUUGUGGCUCCUCGACGAGGCGCGCGAGCUUGGCGGCAUCCGGCGUCGUCUCCUCGCGUGCCGACUGCACCUGCAUGGAGAACGGGAGACGAGCGAUGAAGAGCCCCAGGAGCUCAUGUGGGAACUCGGACCAAGGCCGAUGCUUGAGCGUGCGCGUGCGUUGCCGUUUAAUUCUUUGAACGAGAAUUUAGUGGCCAAUGCUUGAGCGUGCGUGUGCGUUGUAGGUUCGUGCGAGUACUAGCUAGGUUGGUUCGUGCGUGCUGGUGGCGGUGGUCGCCGGCAGAGGUGACCUCGCCGGAGUGACGCGAGGGGGAAAGGCGGUCGCCGGAGUGGUUGGGCACUCGGGCUCUCCCGAUCCAAACGGGAUCGAGGCAUAGGGAGAGGUGAGCGCCGGCAGUUGAGGACAGCGGAGGUGCCUUGCGAGUGCACAUGAGGUGUUCGAGGAAAUGUCAAAGAAAGAGAGAGGAGGAGGAGGAGGAAUAAGAAGAGUGAUGCUGGCAGGUGGGCCCCACUUGUAAUAACGGUCAACGUAACGGUCAAAAUAAAGGAAAUUGACUUUGGAGCCACAUCAGCCCUGACGGUUGGGUCCCGCAUGUCAUAAACGUGUUUAAAUCGUCUAAACCAGCCAUUUUUCAAAAGUGGUAGUCUUUAGGGCCUGUUUGGUUCCAAAUAAGUCACCAACUUAUAAGUCGAAAAGUGAAAAAAGUGACUUAUUUUACCAAACAGACCCGACUUAUAAGUCACCCCAACUUAUAAGUCAUAAGUUGCUCCACCCUAAUUUAAAACUUAUAAGUCACCCCCUUUUGCGUGGGUCCCACCACCUGCAUGAUGUUGAUUGGUGUGGAAAGGUGUGUCAGGUGACUUAUAAGUCAGGUGACAACCAAAGAGGCGUGACUUAUAAGUCACUAGUUUUAAGUCACCUGACUUAUAAGUCGGGUGACUUAUUGAAACCAAACAGGCCCUAAGUCAUCAACUUAUAAGUCGAAAAGUGAAAAAAGUGACUUAUUUUGCCAAACGGACCCAACUUAUAAGUCACCCCAACUUAUAAGUCAUAAGUUGCUCCACACCAAUUUAAAACUUAUAAGUCACCCCCUUUUGCGUGGGUCCCACCACCUUUACAUAAAAAAACAAGGUGAAAAGGUGUGGUCAGGUGACUUAUAAGUCAGGUGACAAUCAAAUAGGCGUGACUUAUAAGUCACUGGUUUUAAGUCAGCUGACUUAUAAGUCAGGUGACUUGUUGAAACCAAACAGGCUCUUAGUCACAAAAUUAAAAAUCUUUGGUAGUUAUCAGUCACUUUUUUGAAUGUGAUAGUUUAAUGGGACAGCAACCUCUAAUGUAGUAGUUUUUUGUCAAAUACUCGAUAUGGAUCAUCAUAUGAUUUCACAUGAUGAUGGAUUCGAUCGAUCACUGGACCUAACCCUUCUAGGUAGCUAGUGUUAGUGUUACUAUAUAUGUGCAUGCAUGUAGAUCUUUCGAUGUGCCUUUUACGGCAUCUGGCAGCAGUUGGCAAAGAUCGCGUUACAAACAUCUGUCUGAUACAAUCUCACUAGGACGCUAUUGCAUGCUGAUGUCAAAGUUAGCUACUUUACUAGGGAGAAGAUAUCGAAUCUUGCGGUAGCUGCCAUGCAUGCAUGAUGAGACAGAGCUACAGUGCCGCUCCUAGAAAGAUCGAGGCGUGCAACCGCAAAUAGUGUAAGACCGGCCCAAUCAUUCGCGAGCUUAGCUCAUUGCUCAUUCGUAGUACCCACCCUACAGCUUCAAUCUUGAUGCUGCUCUGUGCGCCUCCGGUACGCUCCCUGUGCCUCUGGGUGCGCAUGCGUGAUCCCCUUAAAACCCGUGCCACGUACGUAUGCUAUAUGCAGAUGGAGAUCAGAUCCAUUGACCCUUCACGUUGUUGUGCAUGCAUGCAUGCAAACAAAUCUGAUGGGCCAGAUCGCCAGAGACACAGACGGCAGCCGAAGGCCGGCCCAUGUCGGCCCUUGGCGCCGUCGGGAGCAACCGAAACACGCGCGCACCCAGCAGAUCCAUCGAUUAGCGACAAAACUAACUGAACAUUUUUUUAGCGAUAAAACUAAGUGAGCAUUAAGCACUGUACUGAUGGACCUCCGCGGUUAAGAGCGGCACAUGGGGCUCGCUGGGUACGUGGACAAAACUAACUGAGCAAGUAGGCAUCGACGAGUUAACACAUACUCCCUCUGUAAAGAAAUGUAAGAGCGUUAAGAUCACUACUUUAAUAAUCUAAAUGCUUUUAUAUUUGUUUACAGAGGGAGUACAGUACAAACAGCAGAAACUAACUAGUUAAUCAAGGGAGAUGAAUCAAUCAGCAUACUGACUCUCGUGGCACAUCGUCCCCGCACUUUGACAGAUCCAUGCACAUGCCACUCAGCAGCGUGGAUGGUACCACCUGCUUAACCUUAACUACUGGUCAGUGCGUGCCUUGGCACCAUCCAAGUACAGCGGCAUGCGCCUUCCCCUCCUCUCCUCUGGCGCCGCUAGCUGGUCCUGGCCGGCCGGCAACCACUGCAUGGAGCACGGUGGUGCUGCCGCUGCCGCUGCAUGCCUGCUCGCUGCCGCCGCAGAGGCGGAUGGACGUACGUACCUGCUCGUAUGUGGGCAAUGCCGCCCCAAUUGGCCGCAUGGCGCAGUGCCCCUAUUUAGAUCUGUCUAGAAUAGCUCCACCGUACUUUCUGCAUCGUUCCUCCGUCAUGGACCCUGUCAGCCGGCCGUUUGCGCGGCCAGCAUGCAUGCAGUGGCAGGCACCACCAUCGUCCGGAAUGGCUUUCUCAUUGGCUUGCACCGCCGUCGUCGUGACAUGUAGCUUGCCACUGGCUAUAGUAGCAGUCAGAUAGAUGGCUGUGGAUCGGGCGCAGUUUGCCUGUCCCCCUGGAACUCCCCAUCUCCGGUCUGUGCCAAACAGUUUCGGCCCAUUCGAUCGGCAGUAGCUCGUAGUACAUGCUUGCAAGCUAGUGCUGCACGGCGGCAGAGCAGCAUGCAUGCAUCUAUACCGUCAUGUCUGCGUGCGUACAAGAUGAUAUACUGUUGACGUUCCUCUUGCACAAAAAGUGUCUUAAUUUGUGUGCAAUGAUUCAUCGGAGAAAUCGAUCGCGUGGUUUCAGUUCUUGUCCGUAAGACCGCUCUAUGUUGCUAAAUCAGCGGCUUUUACAUGGGAUCCCCACUUUACGCCUUUUCUAUUUUCUUUUUAGGAUCUGUCCCCACUUUACAUCGAUCAGAUAUAUAUCCCCGUCUCCACGUGUGUUAUUUUACACUCGUUGUCAUAGGCAGAGAUACAUGCAUAUCUGAAAGCCAGCUCCAAAAAGUAGGGUUGAUUAGGAGUACUACGGCACUAGAUCCUUAGUUUAACAUUGAUAUAUCUUCAAAAUUGUCGACAAAAAAGAUCAGCAAUAUUCAUACAGUAUGUAUAUAACAUGUAAAGAAAAGACUUACAUAACUGUGGAAACUAAAUAGACAAAUUAUACCAUGGAUAGUACCGAAUCAAGCCGACGAUGAAUGAAAGGGAGGUUUUUUUUUGCGGGAAAAGAACUGUUGAUAUUUAGCACAGGGUUCUUACAGAAAGGUCAUGAGACAAAAAAAAUUACAUUGAAGCCCCCAGCACCCCGUUGACGAAGACGACGACGAAAACGUAUCGCCGGCGCGCCGCCGCUGCUGCUCCACACAAGCCUUGGAUUUGGAACAGACCCUCCGCGGACGGGAAGUCGACGAAGCUCAGCCCCGGAAGACCUCCAUCCCGCAUCGUCAAAGCCAACGCCCUGCACCGCACCACCAGCUCGAUUCAGAACUUCGAGAUCCCGGAUCCGCCGUCCCGCGGACUCCGGUGAGGGAAAAGUGCACCCAGCAGCUCCACCGAGCCCCGAGCACGAGGAAGACGGAAGAUCGACAGCGGAGCUCCUCGGACCUCCACCGCCGGAGAGGAAGACCUCCGUCGCAAAACGCCACUCCGGCCGCGCCGCCCACUCCCCAACGCCGCCGGCUAGCUCCCAAACCGAACCUACGCUAUAUACACGCCGCAGAUCGGGACCUCCCCAUCCUCCCGCUGCCGGAGCAGCCACCGAAGGGUGAGGAACCCGCCGAUCUGGCGGCGGCGAGGUGGAUCGCCCGGGGUCGCCCAAAAGUCGCCCUUUCUCUACUGUGGACGGGGAAAGGAUAAGGCUCCAAGGCGCACAAUGAAAGGGAGUUUGUUCCAAAAAAAAAUAGUAAGACCCAAAAUAGGGUAGCAGAUUGUAUGAAAAAUUAUAGCCGUAUCGAGUGGGAAAUACCCUUUGGUUCCUGGGUAUAUAUACACCUCAUAUAUGGGAAUUAUUUUAAUAAUUGAAUAAAAAGUCAGAUAAGUUUGGAAAUUUAUUUACAAUAAACUUGACUUUCUUUUGCACUACUAUAUAAAUUUUCACGAAUAC